AUACGCCUACGGGACGCAGCAGUCGAGAAUCAUUCACAAUGGGGGAAACCCUGAUGGUGCGACGCCGCGUGGGGGAAUGAAGGUCUUCGAAUUGUAAACCCCUGUCAUGUGGGAGCAAAUUAAAAAGAUAGUACCACAAGAGGAAGAGACGGCUAACUCUGUGCCAGCAGCCGCGGCAAUACAGAGGCCUCAAGCGUUGUUCGGAAUCACUGGGCGUAAAGCGUGCUUAGGCUGUUUCGUAAGUCGUGUGUGAAAGACGCGGGCUCAACCCGCGCACGGCACAUGAUACUGC
rnacentral:rRNA from 1 species